AGGAGUUUCUUCUUGCUGUUGUUGAGUGCAGACAUGAUUCUCUGUACUGAUGUAAGAGGCAGAAAUAAAUGAUGUAAAUAGUUUUCUGUCUGCUUCUUUCCCCUCCUGGGGACACCAAAGGGAGAGAGGAAGAACGGUGUGUUCCUCUCAUACAUCUGAGAAGAAUCGCCGGACCUCGCCUGCUUAUCAGCAGAGUGGAGACGCGGGGAGGUCGACAGGAAUAUCUGCCGGUGCCUACGCUGUGGCACAUUCCUCUGACCCAGGCAGAAUUCCAACAGUGGUAGCAGAGGAUGGUUGCGAUUCAUCGGACAUCUGCAUGAGAGGCUGGUGGAUUGUCCUCCGCUGCUCCAGGGAGGAAUAGAAGCGUCUGAAAGAAGCCAGAGGCUCCACAGACAGCUGAUGGAAAGAAGAGGUGUUUUCCCAAGCAACGGAGCUCAAGGUAUGCUGCAUUUCGGGCUAAAAGUGUGAACGCAGGAAGAUUAAUUCCCUGGUUCACGGAGCUGCGUUUCAAAGAAAACAAAAGCUCCGAGAGGAAGAGGCCUGCAGCUUGAAGGCUGAAGCCUGCAUUCCACAAAGUUUUGUGGUAGAUAAGAGUCCCAUUGAAAUGCAUUGUUGCUAGGCAACGGUCCUGGAAAGUUACUGGCAAGGGGCUGGACUCUGAGUGUAAGCCUGGGAAAGCGAAACAAAACCAGAGAAUGUUUUGGCUACAAGGUUUACGAGCUCUUGGAAGGGACCUUUCAAUAGCAGCCUGAGUUUAGCUGCCAGGUGCAAAGAGCGUAAACAAUUUGCAGUUUCCUGCGUGAGAAAGAAAAAAACAACUGUUGGGUUUUACAGUUUGUUUGACAUUGUGAGCUGGAGGCUUGGCUUCAAGAUGGAUGCCAAGAAAGGGGAGGUUUGCCUUGCCCACCUCCCUUAACCAAUGACAAUUAUUCAUCUUGGUCUGUAAAGAUGAAGGCCCUGCUGCAGAAUCAGAGGCUUUUGAUGUAAUUGAAAACCCCAUCCCUGCAGCACCAACCAGAGGUUGGGAGUCACAGAAUGUAAGGGCCAGGACUGCUAUAAUUCUGUGUGUCUCAGAUGAUCAGUUGGUGCAUGUUCAGCAUUUAGAAAAUGCGAAAGAGGUAUGGGACACACUGCGUACAACGCAUCAGAGAGAUGCUGGUUCUUCAGCGUUGCUGUAUUUUGAGAAAUUGACCAAUCUGAGACUUGCGCCUGAUGGAGAUGUUCAAGCGCACCUGACAGAAAUGAAGUUUCUGCGUCAACAGAUGGUGGAACGCAAUUUUCGUCUUCAGGAGGAAGUGUUUUGCUUCAUGAUGAUAAACAGCCUUAGCCGCACCUACAAGGUUGUUGCCAGUCAGCUUGGUUCCCUACCGGCCGCGCAGCUGACCGCGGAGAGAGUUUGUGCUGUGGUCCUGAAUGAACACGACAGACUUGCUGCACUGGAAGAAAAAGACAGGGGAGGGAAGAACAGAGUUCUAAUUCCCCACUGCUGAUGCUACUGGAGAGCAUGGUGUAGCAUUGAGUGCUGUCCGAUGCUACAAUUGUGGACAGACUGGGCAUCUACAGCGAAACUGUAAGAAGCCGCGCCAGUCAAGAGGAGCAAAGAGCAGCUCUACGAAGCCUCAGGCGUCAGGCAAAAGCCGUUCCAAGUGCCAGGUGAAACCUGCAAAGGCUAUGAUGGCGAAAGGAACCACGCCAGAUGUUGGGAACUCGUUCAUAAUUGACACGGGCGCAACGGUUCAUAUGUGCCCGCACAGAGGACUGUUUUCGACGUUGAAGAAGCAAAGCUUCACUGUGAAACAGGCCAACGGUCAGGAGCUGGAAGCAACUGGAAUUGGGACUGUGUAUCUUGAAAGUCUGAACUUGACUAUAAGUGAUGUUUACCUGGUUCCAGAACUGAGAUUUAAUCUGCUGAGCGUGUCGCAGAUUGCAAAGAAAGGACUGAAACUGUCCUAUGAUGCUAAAAGCUGCAAGAUCUACAAAGAUGGAGAACUGUUUCUACUGCCAAAGAGAAAGAUGGACUGUAUUUGUUGACUUUUGAUCAAAGUGAUUACAUGAAAUGUAAUUCUUCUGAUUCUAACGAAAUCUCUCUUGCAGGUGUGACCAGUGUGAGCACCAGGAAGGUGACUAAGACCAAGAAGGUCGACAGAGCAUUUCAGCGGGUGUAUGCUGAUGUGAUUGGUCCUCUAGAACCAUCUAGGGGCGGUGCAAAAUAUUACCUUUUGUGUGUGGAUUGUUUCACUAAUUAUUCUUGGGUUUAUAUGAUGGAGAAACCGCAAGAAACUUUAGAAAAGUUUCAGGAAUUUUGUGACAAGGUUAAAAGUAUGCAUGAUGCUAACAUUGAUUGUCUUUUCACAGAUGACAAACAAAUUUUUCUGUUGCAGAAGUUUCAGAAGUUCCUGGAUGGAAAAGGGAUAGACCACAAAGUGGCUGUUUCGCAAGAAGCGUGGAACAGGGGGGUCUGUGUAAAAGUGAACAAAGAAUUGCAAAAGGGGAUGAAUGCGCAAUUGCUGAGUUCACAUUUGCCACAUGAAUAUUGGGCCGAAUCGCUAGCGUCCUAUCUUCAUGUGUGGCUGAGAAAAGUCUCAACAGAGUUGGGAUGUUCUCCUUUUGAGAAGCUGUUCAAUAGAAAACCUUCUGUUGCCUAUUUUAAGGUUUUCGGGUCUCAUGUGAGAACAGAAGCUCCAGGUGGAGUAAAGAAUGCCAGAGGCAUUUUCGUAGGUUAUGAAAAGGUCUCUACAGAGUAAUUUUGUCUGAAUCUGGUCAGGUGAUUCUCACAAAGUUCCUAGAGAGUGCUCCAAAGCAAGAGCGGAUAGUACAAACAUUUCCCACAGGAAACGAUUCUGAUGAUGAUGAUGAUGAGUUUGAUCUUAUUGAGUUCAGUAGUACUGAUGAUGACAGUGAGAGCUCAGAGAGUUCAGUUGUCACAGUCAUUGAGAGGAAAUCUCACACAAUGGAUAGACCUUCACAGGUGAAGGAAGAACCACUGAUUGCUACUGGUUCUCAACAGAGUCCAAAGGUUGAACCAGUGAGCACAGAGGAUCAGAACCUCAUACGCAGGUCUGAGAGAGCAACGAAGGGUGUACCACCCAAGAGGUAUUCAAAGGAGUUUGCUAACCUUGCAUAUGUUGCUAUUGUAAACGACCAAGGACAGAUUGAAGCUGUGUCUGAGUCAGAGACAAAGGCACAACAGAGAGGUGUUAACCAAGGUAAUGCGAAGUCACACAACCAGAGAGGUACAUUGGUUAAAGCCAGUGGCGGGUAGUUCCAAGGGUGGAACUGAAACAACAGGGGAAUGUUAUAAAUAUAACAACUGUUUGUUUUCUUCUCUGGAUGACGCUUUGCUCGCAGCACACAUUGAUACUUUAGGGGGAGUAUGUUACCAUAAAGCACCAAUGUUGAGUGCAGACAUGAUUCUCUGUACUGAUGUAAGAGGCAGAAAUAAAUGAUGUAAAUAGUUUUCUGUCUGCUUCUUUCCCCUCCCUGGGGACACCAAAGGGGAGAGAGGAAGAACGGUGUGUUCCUCUCAUACAUCUGAGAAGAAUCGCCGGACCUCGCCUGCUUAUCAGCAGAGUGGAGACGCGGGGAGGUCGACAGGAAUAUCUGCCGGUGCCUACGCUGUGGCACAUUCCUCUGACCCAGGCAGAAUUCCAACAAUUAGAAGCUACCUUAUACUGAGUCAGUAUUGUCCACACUGACUGGCAGCAGCUAUUCAGCCAGAGAACUUUCCUAGCCCUACCUGGAGAUGCUGGGGACUGAACCUGGCAGGCAAAGCAGAUGCUCCGAUACUGAGCUACAACACACACACACACCCCACUCAUUAAUGAUUUGAAAUAACUAGUUUAUUUAUGUAUGCAUAUGUACACACUGCCCUUCAGCCAAAAGGCUCCCAGAGCAAUUCGAAAUAAAAUUUGAAGCUCUGGAUGCCCUUCUGUCAAAUGCAGGCAAAACUAGCAGAACCUUUACCAGAAAUAUGAGCCAUAUUUACUCUAUACCCCUUAAAUUACAGCUGUCAGGGCUGGUUCAGCUGCAAGUCAGCACACGGACAAGCAGUAAAGUUUAAUCUUUAUCCAAGGAAACAAAAUACAAACAGAGAAACCUACGGGCAAAACUGGCCCUGGUAAAGCAGUUGUCACUUCCCUGUAAGUCUCCACCCCGGCAGGCUGUUUUCUCAGCAGUGUUAAACUCAGACAGGGACGGGGCUCCUGUGUUCUCUGUGCCCUUUGCUCUGCUACAUGCAAAGCCCUCCAUGCCCUUGGAGACAAGAGACAAGGGACAAGGGGAGCUGAAUACAGUAGGACCGGCAAACUCCUGUGAAUCUGUUGCAACCUCCUCCUCAGCUGCCGAUCCUACGUCUGCAGCUCUUUCUGUCUCUUCUUCCUCUCUCACUCAAGCCUGUUGCUUGUUCAGCAUCCAACCAUUCUGCCCCCCGCCCUUCAUCCACAGAAUGGUGGGCAACUGAGUAAUAUAGCUGUUUCCUAGCAGGAGGCAAAGCCUUCAUACAAGACUGCCAUGCUAGCAUUUGGAGAUUGGGGAGUGAGAAUGUAGGGUUCUACAUCCCUUCAUUGGAAGCCCCAUAAUCUCCCACAGCUUCUGUUCACAGAAAAUGCAGUUGCUUCUUUUGCCAUUUCCUUGGUUGACAUUUUGCCCUCCCAAGCUGUUAUUUGCUGUGAGGGAAGCUACCAUAUUCCCAUAUGGGAUAUGUAAAUGACUCCCCACAAAGAGACUAAUAGCAGUGGGGAGGGCAGUGCAGAGUGGGAAAACGGCACUCUUAAAACAUCCCUCCCCCAAAAUAUCCCUUCCUCACUAACAUAGUAUGGACCCUACCUGAGGGUCUUGCAGAUGCAUUUGCCAUUUAGAAACUGUGGGAAGUAUAAACACAGAGGUCACACAGUUUGGACCCAAGAUACACACGAAGCUCUGGCUUGCUUGCCUCACACAGAAUGAUGCCAUAGUUAACCUCUGCUUACGCCACACAGCAGCAGGAAGGGACAGGGCAAGCUGUAUUACUGCUGCUGCAGCAGCUCCCCUCCCCUUGCCAUAGAUUAUAAUUGUGUGUUCCCUCACUGGCUUUCUUCUCCUUUAGGAAACUGACUACGUGAAACAACAGAAACAGAAUUGCAGACAGAGUGCCUUUUCUGUCACUCACUGAAAAGCAUAUCUAUGUAGCCACAGACACAGACACAUCCGUGUAUUCUUUCACUUGCUCACAUAAUUUAUUCAUCCCAAGAGGAAACAGCGUGUCUGCUAUUUGUUUGUGACUGGUAGCUUAAGUAAUAUAUGAGCAGGUGCUCAUUUCCAAUUAAAAGAGAAUAAAACAUGAAGACCAAGGAAGUAUGAAAUCUCUGAACAGUGCAGAUGCCUUUGUUUAUUGCCUUGGCAGGAUGAAGACAACCCUUCCAUCCGUCAUCCACUUUUUAUUGAGAAGUUAAACUGUUACAGCAGAGAAAAAUGUAAUGAAGGUCUUUUAUAAGUAAGCACUUACUUUUAAAUUUUAAUGUAACUAACCAUUUAUUAAGAAGAUAGAUAGCAGUAAGUGCAAAAAUAGAAUCACCAUUUGGAAAUCAUGGCAACUGCCCCACCCCAACAAUUUCUAGUUCUUUUGUCCUUCAUUAUUUUGUCCUCCUUCAACAGAAUUUCUUUCUUUUCUUAUACCAGCUUCCUGUGCUGACUGUAACACAGUAUAUUCCUCUUAAACAUACUACUGACAUGAUUUUAUUUUUUGGUAAUCGCAAUGGAUUUUAAAGCGAAUAAAUUGCUUGUCAUGGUUGCCACUGUGGAGCAGCCAGCGUUCUAAACCUGCAAAGGAGUUAAGCAAUUAGACCUCUGGGUUUCCCGCCUCUGUCGAUAACAGAUCAUCUGGGAUUUACAACCUCCUCUGUUGCUUCCGUUAGUCUUAGGCUGCAAAUUAAAGAGAGCCUAGUCCCUGUAAUAAGCUCUCAGCUUGAUGAAACACAGUCAACCCACCUGUAGUGACAAUCUACGCAUCAUCACUGUGACAGCUGUACUUUAUCAUGGAGUUAUUUACCUUACCAGGUUGGCACAUCUACUGGAGCUGCUGGCACAAUGAGUAAUCACAUGAUCCAGACAACAUACAUGCUAGUGAUUUUAUCCUUCCCCAAUGAGAUGUAGAAGCCGGGCCACCAAGUAGCAGUUUUAUAACAGCUGCCAUACAGAGAGGUACAGUAUAUUAGACUAAGAGAUUGCGUGUAUUAUACUGCACAUAACCAUUUCAAAAUGUCUUGUUUCCCUAAUGUUUUUCCAGGUAAGCAGUUGACUCAAAUACUUAGAAUUGGCCCUAAACCAUUAUGCAGAAAAGGAAUACCAAUGGCAUGUUUUUCCAAAGCAGAAUAAUCCUGCAAGGGAUUCCCAAGUGGACUUUUAGGAAUCAAUAAAAGAUUCUGCAGAUUUUAAAUCAUCUUGAGAAUACUGAGCUGUAUUUGUAGAAUUGUUCCAGACAGUAAUUAAUUUAUUUGUAGAGGCAGUGGUUUGUUUCCUAACCCACCCCAGCCCUGCAGCCACCAAUCCUUUGUGCACAGGAUACAGGCCUAGUGCACACCAGGAAUGUGUCCAUGACAAACUAAGAAACUUCACCCAGUACUAAUACAGAAAGUGUUGGGCAACUUCAAGAGAGGGAAAUUAUGUGCAUAUAGCAUCCGUUUCCUGCACUGAUGGCCUGUGACACUUUUCUAUGUUACAUAUGCACAGUGGGACCAAAGAAUCACUCUGUUAUUAUCUCUACAAUUUUAAUUACGAAAGUUUGAUACAAAGUGUGCAUAAUGUAUGAAUGAUUCGGAACAUAAGACUUAGCAAUUUGUUGAGACAGAAAAAGUAAUGGAAACAAGGGAUCCCUCUUCACACAGGCUUUUAAUGGUGCAGUGGAGCUACUGCUGCAUUUGCAGGCUUGCCACACAUGCUGGGGUGGGGGAUGCAAAUCACAGUGUCAUCCUGAAAUUGCUACAGGGAUUGGACCCAAAUCAGGCUCAAUCCUGUCAUGUGAAUCGAGUGAAUUCUAGGCUAGCUCAGCCCUUUGCUGCUCCAGUGUGGUGUAAUGGUUAAGAGCGGUGGUCUUGUAAUCUGGGGAACCGGGUUCGCGUCUCCGCUCCUCCACAUGCAGCUGCUGGGUGACCUUGGGCUAGUCGUACUUCUCUGAAGUCUCUCAGCCCCACUCACCUCACAGAGUGUUUGUUGUGGGGGAGGAAGGGAAAAGGAGAUUGUUAGCCGCUUUGAGAUUCCUUAGGAUAGUGAUAAAGUGGGAUAUCAAAUCCAAACUCUUCAUCAUCAUCAUCAUCAUCAUCAUCAUCAUCUCCUUCUCCUUCUCCUUCUCCUGGAAUUGUGCAUUUCUGGGCUUUCUGUGGGCUGCCACUAGUGGGGAUUCCACGGGCAGCAGGCCUGUCUGCCUGUUUUAUAGUUGGAAGGAAGAGGUCUGCAGCUACAGGGCGACACUGGCAUCAUUCUAAAGGCAAAAGUUAGCAGGGCCAGAGAGAAAGACACUUUCACCAAAUCCAAUGCAAAACACACACACACCCUGAGUCUGGUACAAAGGUGCUUACUGUUGUACCUUAAGUUACUGUUAAACUUUUUUUUUGCAAUUUGCCAUGUUCUCAUUUCUUAUAACAAUCAUGUUGGUUUUAAUUAUUAUUGCAAUAACUGGAAAAGGAACCCCACUGUUUUUAUUGUUUUAGAAAAAUACAUGGAAUUAGAGCCUUUUACAAAGAAUGUAAUUAUAAUAAAGCAAGCUUAACCAG
rnacentral:lncRNA from 1 species